GGGGGCUUUCGGGCUUCAGUGGCGGACGGGUGAGUAACGCGUAGGAACGUGUCCUGGGAUGGGGGAUAACGCUGGGAAACUGGCGCUAAUACCGCAUAUCUCCUGAGGGAGAAAGCCGCGAGGCGUCUUGGGAGCGGCCUGCGUCCGAUUAGCUUGUUGGUUAGGUAAUGGCUGACCAAGGCGAUGAUCGGUAGCUGGUCUGAGAGGAUGAUCAGCCACACUGGGACUGAGACACGGCCCAGACUCCUACGGGAGGCAGCAGUGGGGAAUAUUGGACAAUGGGCGCAAGCCUGAUCCAGCAAUUCCGCGUGGGUGAAGAAGGUCUUCGGAUUGUAAAGCCCUUUCGGCGGGGACGAUGAUGACGGUACCCGCAGAAGAAGCCCCGGCUAACUUCGUGCCAGCAGCCGCGGUAAUACGAAGGGGGCUAGCGUUGCUCGGAAUGACUGGGCGUAAAGGGCGCGUAGGCGGCACGGACAGUCAGGCGUGAAAUUCCUGGGCUUAACCUGGGGGCUGCGUUUGAUACGUUCGAGCUAGAGGAUGGAAGAGGCUCGUGGAAUUCCCAGUGUAGAGGUGAAAUUCGUAGAUAUUGGGAAGAACACCGGUGGCGAAGGCGGCGAGCUGGUCCAUUACUGACGCUGAGGCGCGAAAGCGUGG
rnacentral:rRNA from 1 species